AUUAGUAAUAGUUAAUUUGUUUUUAUUAAUAAAAUUACUUUAAAUUUUUUAAGUGAAAUUUUAAAUUUAAUUAAUUUUAUAUAAAAGAGUUGAUGAAGCUAAAAAAUUUUAAUAAUAAACUAGGAUUAGAUACCCUAUUAUUUAAAAAGUAAAGUUAAAUACUUGAGUAGUAAUAGAUAUGAUCUUCAAACUUAAAGAAUUUGGCGGUGUUUUAGUCUAUUUAGAGGAACCUGUCCUGUAAUCGAUAAUCCACGUUGGACCUUACUAAAAUUUGUUGUCAAUUUGUAUAUCGCCGUUAUCAGAAUAUCUUAAAAGAGGAAUAAUUUUCUUAAUUUAUUAUUAUAAUUGAUGUCAGGUCAAGGUGCAGUUUAUAUUUUAGUAGAGAUGGGUUACAAUAAAUUUAUUUAAACGUUAAAUUAUUUGAAAUAAUGAUUUUAAGGUGGAUUUAAAAGUAAAAUAAUGAAUAUAAUUUAUUUGAUUAUAGCUCUAAAACAUGCACACAUCG
rnacentral:rRNA from 1 species